rnacentral:rRNA from 1 species
CCCCUAGAUGUUCUGGGCCGCACGCGCGCUACACUGAACAGUUCAACAAGUCUUAACCUUGGCUGAUAGGUCUGGGUAAUCUUUGAACGCUGUUCGUGAUUGGGAUAGACCUUUGCAAUUAUGGGUCUUCAACGAGGAAUUCCUAGUAAACGCAAGUCAUCAGCUUGCAUUGAUUACGUCCCUGCCCUUUGUACACACCGCCCGUCGCACCUACCGAUUGAAUGGUCCGGUGAAAUCUCGGGACGGCGGCUUGGUCGCUUGCGUCCGACUGCUGAAACUUGAUUAAACCAUAUCAUUUAGAGGAAGGUGAANUCGUAACA